rnacentral:rRNA from 1 species
CAUGAACAUUGAUAAGUUGAACGCAUAUUGCACGUCGUGGGAACCUACCAUGAUGUACACAUACUUGAGUGCUUAUAAUUAGAAGUGGAAUACAGCUGACUACGGAUUGAUUGGUGCUGGUCACCACGUCAUGAAGUGCAUAAUGAUGUAAGAGGGGUCUCGCCGAUCCGCUUGCAUUGAAGGCUUGUGUUGAAAGAACCGUGAAGACGAACAAGUAGCAAAGCUUUUGUGUUCCCGCGAACGGCGGAAGUAUAACAAGCGUGCGUGCCUGUUGCUGUGCGUAGAUGGAGCAGGAGUCUUCCUCAUCUAUUUUAUUUUUUUAAAAUUGAGGUAAGACUUCAAACGUUUCCUUCGAGAUAGUUAGCAGGCGCAAAUAAUUGCCAAUACCGAUGUUGAACAACGGAACACAACACAAAGUAUGAAAACACUACCCAGAAUUUGUGCGGAACGGAAAGUAAAUGCAAGUAAAACCAAAGGAACAUUAUCACUUACGAGUGAGGCCACUCGGUGGUCAGAUAAGCCUCAAGUUAUGUGUGACA